rnacentral:rRNA from 1 species
UAAGGAAUAUUGGACAAUGGUGGCAACACUGAUCCAGCCAUGCCGCGUGCAGGAUGAAGGCCCUAUGGGUUGUAAACUGCUUUUGUACGGGAAAAAACCUCUUUACGUGUAAAGAGCUGAUUGUACUGUAAGAAUAAGGAUCGGCUAACUCCGUGCCAGCAGCCGCGGUAAUACGGAGGAUCCAAGCGUUAUCCGGAUUCAUUGGGUUUAAAGGGUGCGUAGGCGGAAUGAUAAGUCAGUGGUGAAAUCUCUUAGCUUAACUAAGAAACUGCCAUUGAUACUGUCAAUCUUGAGUACAUUUGAUGUGGGCGGAAUGUGUCAUGUAGCGGUGAAAUGCUUAGAUAUGACACAGAACACCGAUUGCGAAGGCAGCUCACAAAACUGUAACUGACGCUGAGGCACGAAAGCGUGGGUAUCAAACAGG